AGGAAAUAGAUACCCAGGUAGUCCACGCCCUAAACGAUGUCGACUAGGUGUUCGGUGAGGAGACUCAUUGAGUACCGCAGCUAACGCGUGAAGUCGACCGCCUGGGGAGUACGGUCGCAAGAUUAAAACUCAAAGGAAUUGACGGGGACCCGCACAAGCGGUGGAUGAUGUGGAUUAAUUCGAUGCAACGCGAAAACCUUACCUACCCUUGACAUGUACGGAACCCUGCUGAGAGGUGGGGGUGCUCGAAAGAGAGCCGUAACACAGGUGCUGCAUGGCUGUCGUCAGCUCGUGUCGUGAGAUGUUGGGUUAAGUCCCGCAACGAGCGCAACCCUUGUCAUUAGUUGCUACGCAAGAGCACUCUAAUGAGACUGCCGGUGACAAACCGGAGGAAGGUGGGGAUGACGUCAAGUCCUCAUGGCCCUUAUGGGUAGGGCUUCACACGUCAUACAAUGGUCGGUACAGAGGGUUGCCAAGCCGCGAGGUGGAGCCAAUCCCAGAAAGCCGAUCGUAGUCCGGAUCGCAGUCU
rnacentral:rRNA from 1 species